rnacentral:rRNA from 1 species
GUAGUCCACGCUGUAAACGAUGGGUACUAGGUUUGGAGGGAUUUGACCCCCGCCGAGCCGUCGCUAACGCAUUAAGUACCCCGCCUGGGAAGUACGGUCGCAAGAUUAAAACUCAAAGGAAUUGACGGGGGCCCGCACAAGCGGUGGAUCAUGUGGUUCAAUUCGAAGCAACGCGAAAAACCUUACCUAGGUUUGACAUCCCUGGACAGCCGUAGAAAUACGGUCUUGGUAGCAAUACCACCGGGUGACAGGUGCUGCAUGGCUGUCGUCAGCUCGUGGGGUGACCUGUUGGGUUAAGUCCCGCAACGAGCGCAACCCUCGUUCCAUGUUGCCAGCGCGUAAUGGCGGGGACUCAUGGGAGACUGCCGGGGUCAACUCGGAGGAAGGUGGGGACGACGUCAAAUCAUCAUGCCCCUUACGUCUUGGGCUUCACGCAUGCUACAAUGGCCGGUACAAAGGGUUGCGAUACUGUGAGGUGGAGCUAAUCCCAAAAAGCCGGUCUCAGUUCGGAUUGGGGUCUGCAACUCGACCCCAUGAAGUCGGAGUCGCUAGUAAUCGCAGAUCAGCAACGCUGCGGUGAAUA